CGGUUGAUAGGAGAAGGUGUCACGUGACAGGCAUGGGCGGAUCGCACAGAACGUGUACGGACGCCAUAGGUUUGUGUACAAACUUCAAUGCAUUGUGGAUUUGUGCGUAAGCUUCCACCGUACCGCCGUACCGUACCGCGCUCUUUUGCACGGCACUUCGCGUAGCCAAGCGAGGAUCUGCUUGCAAAAUUUUCGUCCAAGAUUCCUGAUUUUUGCAUCCCUGGUCGUCCCAUCUGAAUGCCAGUGUUCCAUGCACGCGGGAGGGGGGUUUACCGAGCUGUUGGAGGAGUUUUGAGGCACUUUACGAGGUGAAAGUCGAGGGGCUUUCCAAGGAUUACAUAUUGGCAGAUCUUUGGAAACACCUGUGGCUGCAAUCCACAUUCUUUGAUUUAUUGUGCAGAUCCAGUGGCCCUGCAUGACCCCAAACAAAUUGUAAAAUAAGCUCCCACCACCCAUGCAAAAGAUAAUCAUGGCGGUAAUGUAUUCCCUUAGUAUUUUUGAACAGUGCAAUUUUUAUCAUUUUCUUAUCAUCCCAUAAUCAUUUCAACUACAUC